rnacentral:rRNA from 1 species
GAUUGAACGCUGGCGGCAUGCCUUACACAUGCAAGUCGAACGGCAGCACGGGGGCAACCCUGGUGGCGAGUGGCGAACGGGUGAGUAAUACAUCGGAACGUGCCCGGUAGUGGGGGAUAGCUCGGCGAAAGCCGGAUUAAUACCGCAUACGACCCACGGGUGAAAGCGGGGGAUCGCGAAGACCUCGCGCUAGCGGAGCGGCCGAUGUCAGAUUAGGUUGUUGGUGGGGUAAAGGCCACCAAGCCGACGAUCUGUAGCUGGUCCUGAGAGGACGACCAGCCACACUGGGACUGAGACACGGCCCAGACUCCUACGGGAGGCAGCAGUGGGGAAUUUUGGACAAUGGGCGCAACCCUGAUCCAGCCAUGCCGCGUGC